GAAGUGCUGCACAUUGUUGGGCCGAGAAGGAAAAGGUCAGAGGUCAGCAACGCCCACACCCCUGAGAGGCGCUGGACUUGCGGAGCUGCUCGACCAUACUGGUGGGUAUGGGAUGCUGGGGAGGCUGGUGUUAGCACCCCACGGGGAGCAUGUUUACGGGGGCUGAGUGUCAGGGGGAGGCACUGGGUCUGGAGUGUGAGCACUUCUGGCUAAGAGAAGUUUGCAUGUCGGGGUACUAAUUACAGCAUGGAAGGAGACUGUAUGAUGUGUGUUGAUCCUCCUAGCCAAACAGCCACCAUCUUGGGGCAUUCCGCUGUGCCCUCUUGCAAAAGGACUCUUCCUGCUGGGCUUGCUGGCUGUUUACACUUCUUGUGGAGGGCUGGGGACGGUCACAAGACCCUCACCUGAAUGUCCAGCUGCCCCCUUCCACCUGCUCCAUGCAACUCUGCCUGAAGCGCACGUGGCCUCAGAGAGGGGCUGAGCUCUGUAGUCUGGGUAAGCCCAGGCAGACCGCUGCUGUUGAGUGAAGGCUUUCUGCGUUUGGGCUGUUGGAGAUCCAGGGUAUACAUCAAGGGUCUGCUGUGAUCUGCUUCUUACAGACAGACAGACACACGGGUUCAAACAGAAAGGUAGCCGAGGACACAGGACAUAGCAGGGGUGGAGUGCAGAAGUCUCCGGCUGGUGCCCCAGGGAAUGGGCCCAGGGCUCAGAGCUGCCUUGCUGUUGAACCCACAGUGCCUCCUCUCAUGAAGCGGGUUUCAAGUGCAUCUCAGAAAACCUGGAUGAGUUGAUGGCUUACGUCCAGAAUUCAAGAGGGCAACUGGUUUAGUAGCCUGACUACAUAAUGAGUUUGGGGCCAUCCUGAGAUACAAUGUGAAAACCUCAAAAACACAAAAACAACCACCACCACCAGCAACAAAAAUUGGUACAAGUUUCCCUUUUCAGUCAAAGCCCGGCCCAGGAUGCUGAUGGCUUUGAGGGGGUAACCUCUACCAUUUGAGGUCGAACCUUAGACUGAAGAUAGAUACCCCUCUCUUCUUUCUCUUUCUGGGUUUUUUUUUCCAGUUAUUUUUUGGGUUUUUUUUUUUUUUUUUUUUUUUUCGAGACAGGGUUUCUCUGUAUAGCCCUGGCUGUCCUGGAGCUCACUUUGUAUACCAGGCUGGCCUCGAACUCAGAAAUCUGCCUGCCUCUGCCUCCCGAGUGCUGGGAUUAAAGGCGUGCGCCACCACGCCCGGCUUUUUCCAGUUAUUUUAUUUCUUCUUAUGUGUGCAUUGGGGAGGUGCUCCAAGUGCCAUGGCUCACGUGUGGAGGUCAGAGGUCAGCUAUAUGAAGUACGUUUUCUCCUUUCACCUUUAUGUGGGUUUCAUACCAGGUCUGCAGGCUGGUUAGGCUUGUGUGACAAGCAUCUUUACCCACUGAACCAUCCCGAUGGCUCUCUGGUUUCUAGAGACGGGGUCUCACUGUGUGGCCCGGGGUUAGCCUGCAGCUUGUCAUGCAGACCAGGCUGGCCUCACACUUGAAGCAAUCCUCCUGUCUCAGCCUUCCAAGUACUGGGGUGGCAGGCUCAUGUCACCACACCCGUCCCCCUCCCUUUCUCCUAAUGUUGGUGUGUGUGUGUGUGCAGCCACAUUCUUCAGCAAGCCCCUUCCCGCAGGAAUUGCUCUCUCCCUAAGUAGACUCUGCACCGAGGGCUGCCUUUCCAGAGGGCCCCUUUGUAAUGGGGCCUGGUGGGUGGACCAUGUCCUGUGCCCACUCAACCACACACUCCGUUAGCUCCACAGCCCUGGGGAGCCAGGCGUGGGCUGAGUCAGGGCAGCUGACAUGCCAGGAAUGCUGAGCACUGACAGGAGGGUUCACAGUCCUCCAGGAGGAUUGCCCGAAGCCGCACACACGAGAGAGCCUGCAAGCGCAGGCUUCACAUUUUUUCAGUUUUCCUACAGUAGUCAAGAAUGCCUGACCCUCCUCCCCUCAGCAAUUGACUGGCCCUGGGCUUGUAAAUUAAAGGGGCCAUACUCUGGCUUCUCAUGUGUAUCAGCUUGAGUUUAAAGGGUAUAUAACUUUUAUUUGCCUGCAUGUCUGUCUGUCUGUCUGUGUGAGGGUGUUAGAAGCCCUGGAACUGGAGUUAUAGACAGGUGUGACUUCAGCUCUUACUGGGUAUUGAACCCAUGUCCUCUUGAAGAGCACCCAGUGCUCUUAACUGCUGAGCCAUCUCUUCAGCCCCAAGUGAAGUCAUUUUCAAAAAAUUUCUUUUCCAGUCCAGCUUGGCUUUUAUUUGUGCCAGUAGAAGAACAAGAAAAAGUGUCCUCCUUAGAGAGAAGUCAGCUGUAAAAAUGCCUGGGUUGUUAGUAUUUAAUUGAAGCCUCUGAGAGCAGGGGCAGGUGGAUCUCUCCAAGUACAAGGCCCGCCUGACUGUGUGUAGCGUCAAACCUACCACAACUAUAUAGUGCUACAUACAUUGUCU
rnacentral:lncRNA from 1 species